UACGUAGGGUGCAAGCGUUAAUCGGAAUUACUGGGCGUAAAGCGUGCGCAGGCGGUUAUGUAAGACAGAUGUGAAAUGCCCGGGCUUAACCUGGGAACUGCAUUUGUGACUGCAUGGCUAGAGUUUGGCAGAGGGGGGGUAGAAUUCCACGUGUAGCAGUGAAAUGCGUAGAUAUGUGGAGGAACACCGAUGGCGAAGGCAGCCCCCUGGGUCAAGACUGACGCUCA
rnacentral:rRNA from 1 species